GACGAACGCUGGCGGCGUGCCUAAUACAUGCAAGUAGAACGCUGAAGAGAGGAGCUUGCUCUUCUUGGAUGAGUUGCGAACGGGUGAGUAACGCGUAGGUAACCUGCCUUGUAGCGGGGGAUAACUAUUGGAAACGAUAGCUAAUACCGCAUAACAAUGGAUGACACAUGUCAUUUAUUUGAAAGGGGCAAUUGCUCCACUACAAGAUGGACCUGCGUUGUAUUAGCUAGUAGGUGAGGUAAUGGCUCACCUAGGCGACGAUACAUAGCCGACCUGAGAGGGUGAUCGGCCACACUGGGACUGAGACACGGCCCAGACUCCUACGGGAGGCAGCAGUAGGGAAUCUUCGGCAAUGGGGGCAACCCUGACCGAGCAACGCCGCGUGAGUGAAGAAGGUUUUCGGAUCGUAAAGCUCUGUUGUAAGUCAAGAACGGGUGUGAGAGUGGAAAGUUCACACUGUGACGAUAGCUUACCAGAAAGGGACGGCUAACUACGUG
rnacentral:rRNA from 1 species